rnacentral:lncRNA from 1 species
UUUCUUUCCUGAUGCUCGAUUGAGGUGAUUCAAAUUGAGUUGGAAAGUUAACUCAAAGUUUGAUUCAGACAUAAUCUUCUCAUUCGAUGGUUUUCCAUGUCAAAAUUAGGUCCCAAUAUGAGUCUGAAAAUCGGUGCGUAACUUUUUUCAAUUGGGAAUUAAUGUAUGAUCAAACUUUGAUGUUAUUUCAUCCUUUUGACUUCUUUCCUCAUCCACUUGACCUCUAACACUUUAGAAUCUUCAUCAUAAGGUCAAACACAAGUUUAGAAUAUUUAUAUUUUGUUCCCUGAACUUUUAGUUACUUCCAUUUUUGGGCCAUUUUCACUCUUUUCUCCCAAGUUUCACAUUUUAUACCAAAAUACAACCUGAAUCAUAACAUAAGUAUAAUGAGUGCAUUUUGACAUCAAAUAAUCAUACGAAUGCAAUAAUUAAGAAAGAAAAAUACCAUAUUUUACACUCUUAUCAGGGGGUUGUAGCAUGCUUUUUACUCCAAAUGACGUGUUUUGUUGGGAAUGAGAUUAUAGUUAGAAUUGGAAAUGAAAGUCUCCAAUAAAUUCCUUUCUUUACCUGUAUUAGAAUUUGUUGAAAUAUUUCUUUUGGUACUAUGUGUACUAAACCAUUUCAUUAUUAGAAGUUGGAUAGAGUUUUGGAAUGCAAAAGAAUUUUUUUUUUUUCACAAAUCCCUGAGACCUUCAUGAGAACAAGAGUAUUCGAGUAUGACCCCAUCGAACAAAACUCAUCAACCAAUUAGUAUGUUUCCAAGAAAUAUAAAACUUUCUUCUCCUAUAAGCAGUUGGCAGUUUACUAGAAUUAACACAAAUUUGCACAAAUGUGUACUUUGUUGUGUAUCUGAAAAAAGAAGUACAUCUCUCCAACAAAAAAGGAUAGUAAAAAUAUUUACUUUUGACGUACUAUUAUUAGUUAACAUCUGUAUUUCAUUUUCUAAACCUACUAAGUUGUGAAGGCUAGAGGGUUCGGCACAGUCAAAAUAAGUUGCAACUAGCUAACUUUUAGUAGGUCGGCUCCUGACUGAUU